GACGAACGCUGGCGGCGUGCCUAAUACAUGCAAGUAGAACGCUGAAGGAGGAGCUUGCUUCUCUGGAUGAGUUGCGAACGGGUGAGUAACGCGUAGGUAACCUGCCUGGUAGCGGGGGAUAACUAUUGGAAACGAUAGCUAAUACCGCAUAAUAGUAGAUGUUGCAUGACAUUUGCUUAAAAGGUGCAAUUGCAUCACUACCAGAUGGACCUGCGUUGUAUUAGCUAGUUGGUGGGGUAACGGCUCACCAAGGCGACGAUACAUAGCCGACCUGAGAGGGUGAUCGGCUACACUGGGACUGAGACACGGCCCAGACUCCUACGGGAGGCAGCAGUAGGGAAUCUUCGGCAAUGGACGGAAGUCUGACCGAGCAACGCCGCGUGAGUGAAGAAGGUUUUCGGAUCGUAAAGCUCUGUUGUAAGAGAAGAACGAGUGUGAGAGUGGAAAGUUCACACUGUGACGGUAUCUUACCAGAAAGGGACGGCUAACUACGUG
rnacentral:rRNA from 1 species